rnacentral:rRNA from 1 species
UACGGAGGGUGCAAGCGUUAAUCGGAAUUACUGGGCGUAAAGCGUGCGCAGGUGGUUUGUUAAGUCCGUUGUGAAAGCCCCGAGCUCAACUUGGGAAUUGCAGUGGAUACUGGCAGGCUGGAGUACGGUAGAGGAAGGUGGAAUUCCCGGUGUAGCAGUGAAAUGCGUAGAUAUCGGGAGGAACACCAGUGGCGAAGGCGGCCUUCUGGACCAGUACUGACGCUCAUGCACGAAAGCGUGGGGAGCAAACAGG